UGGGGAAUAUUGCACAAUGGACGGAAGUUUGAUGCAGCGACGCCGCGUGGAGGGUGUAGGCCUUCGGGUUGUGAACCCCUUUUUCUCGCGAAAAAGGCACAGUUUUGGCCGUGUUGAUGGUAGUGGGGGAAGAAGCGCCGGCUAACUACGUGCCAGCAGCCGCGGUAAUACGUAGGGCGCGAGCGUUGUCCGGAUUUAUUGGGAGUAAAGAGCUCGUAGGUGGUUCGUCGCGUCUGUCGUGAAAGCCAGCAGCUUAACUGUUGGUCUGCGGUGAGUACGGGCGGGCUUGAGUGCGGUAGGUGUGACUGGAAUGCCUGGUGUAGCGGUGGAAUGAGCAAAUAUCAAGAGGAACACCGAUGGCGAAGGCAGAUCACUGGGCAGUUAAUGACACUGAGGAGCGAAAGCGUGGGGAGCGAACAGG
rnacentral:rRNA from 1 species